GUUGCCUGCCUUUUUGGACGUUUCCUCCCUAAACUUGGGCCCCCGGCUAAUCCCCGGGGGCUUUUUUCUGGUCUGG
rnacentral:sRNA from 1 species